UGGAAGGGCUCCUCCUCCCCGUCGGCCACUUCCACUAUCAAAGACCCGUACAGCCCGGCCGCCCUCUGCAUCCCGUAAUGCCCGUGGUAGAAAUAUGUUCCUGCCUAUUUGCACGGUCAUCAAGUCAAAAGAAAAAGGCAAAUAAAUAGAGUAAAUACAGAUGCAGCUGCAUGAUACGUGAGAGACUAAUCUGAGGAAUGAUAAGGAGAUGAGUUACCUUAUCGACCUGAAAUAUGUAAACAAAAGUCUCUUCAGGAUUGGUGGCGCACUGUGAGAUGGAAGCUGUUCCAUCAGCCCAUGGUGUUCCAUACUGGUUGCAGCCAGUGACAUGCAGAUUUGUAAGCAUAAUAAUAGCAAGGACAUGAACGAAUAAGAUGAAGUGGAUGACAACUCCCUCGGUGUGAAGGGCGUUCUUCAUCUCGACAUGGAUGGUGUCGCCGGCCUUGGCGCGGAUGGUCGGUCCGGGGAACUGGCCGUUGAUCCCAAGUAGAAUCUUCUCCUCGCAGUCCGGCGACG